UACAGAGGUCUCAAGCGUUGUUCGGAUUCAUUGGGCGUAAAGGGCGCGUAGGCGGGCAUCCAAGUCAGUGGUGAAAUCCUCCGGCCUAACCGGAGAAGAGCUGUUGAUACUGGGUGCCUCGAGUGGUGCAGGGGUCUGCGGAACUUCCGGUGGAGCGGUGAAAUGCGUAGAGAUCGGAAGGAACGCCGGUGGCGAAAGCGGCGGACUGGGCACCUCCUGACGCUGAGGCGCGAAAGCCAGGGGAGCAAACGGG
rnacentral:rRNA from 1 species